UUCUAAUUCAGGAGGACGCUGGUCCAUGGCUAUCUUUCUUUUCUUACUGUAUCUUGUAACUCUUCUCUGGUGCUUUAUCGAGAUUUACCAGUGUAAUACAUCUGGGAGUCUCAGGAAAUGUGAUGUUGAAGCAUAUUAGCAAUUGUCACCACCCUACUUACCAAGUAUGUUUUCCUUAUUGAAAUCUGACUCGGCAGUGACCCAAUUCCAGAAUCCCAACAUGAAGGGCUGCUUUCCAGACUCUGUGUAACAAGCUGUCCUGGUUUGGCUUCACUGUGAAAGCCAAACCAGAGAUGGCCCUGGAUUGAUUUGCCAAAGAUCCACCCGGGAAUCCUGACUCAUUAAAGAAGGGUGGAGAUUUUCUGAGCUAAGCGAGAGACCUUUCCUCAGAGGUCAUUUUCUCUUCCACUUCUCCUGAGGCAACUCCUGCAGCCAGCCCCCAAGGACAGAAUCACAUAAUAGGAAUUCAAAAACCUAACUUAACUGUGAGCCAUGUUACAAGGUUCAAGACCUUCAGCAACAGCCAGUUUUACUGAGUUACUAACAGUC